AAAGUUAAACGGCCGCGGUAUCCUGACCGUGCAAAGGUAGCAUAAUCACUUGUUCCUUAAUUAGGGACUAGUAUGAAUGGCUAAACGAGGGUUUAACUGUCUCUUAUUCUUAAUCAGUGAAAUUGACCUUCCAGUGAAGAGGCUGGAAUAACAAAAUAAGACGAGAAGACCCUAUGGAGCUUCAAUUAACUAGCUUAAUUACUACAAUAACAAACCUAAUGGGCUAACAUAAAAAAACAUAAGCUAAAAAUUUCGGUUGGGGUGACCUCGGAGAAUAAAAAAUCCUCCGAAUGAUUAUAACUUAGACAAACAAGUCAAAGUAAAUCUUAUAAUCUUAUUGACCCAAAACUUUUUGAUCAACGGACCAAGUUACCCUAGGGAUAACAGCGCAAUCCUAUUUAAGAGUCCAUAUCGACAAUUAGGGUUUACGACCUCGAUGUUGGAUCAGGACAUCCCAA
rnacentral:rRNA from 1 species